GGGUGAUUAGCUCAGCUGGUAGAGCGCCUGCCUUACAAGCAGGAUGUCGGCGGUUCGAACCCGUCAUCGCCCA
rnacentral:tRNA from 1 species